rnacentral:rRNA from 1 species
GACGAACGCUGGCGGCGUGCCUAAUACAUGCAAGUAGAACGCUGAAGGAGGAGCUUGCUUCUCUGGAUGAGUUGCGAACGGGUGAGUAACGCGUAGGUAACCUGCCUGGUAGCGGGGGAUAACUAUUGGAAACGAUAGCUAAUACCGCAUAAUAGCAGUUGUUGCAUGAUAACUGUUUGAAAGGUGCAAUUGCACCACUACCAGAUGGACCUGCGUUGUAUUAGCUAGUUGGUGGGGUAACGGCUCACCAAGGCGACGAUACAUAGCCGACCUGAGAGGGUGAUCGGCCACACUGGGACUGAGACACGGCCCAGACUCCUACGGGAGGCAGCAGUAGGGAAUCUUCGGCAAUGGACGGAAGUCUGACCGAGCAACGCCGCGUGAGUGAAGAAGGUUUUCGGAUCGUAAAGCUCUGUUGUAAGAGAAGAACGAGUGUGGGAGUGGAAAGUUCACACUGUGACGGUAUCUUACCAGAAAGGGACGGCUAACUACGUG